rnacentral:rRNA from 1 species
GUGUCAGCAGCCGCGGUAAUACGUAGGUGGCAAGCGUUGUCCGGAUUUACUGGGCGUAAAGAGCGCGCAGGCGGCUGGUCAAGUCCGAUGUGAAAUCUCCCGGCUCAACUGGGAAACUGCAUCGGAAACUGAUCGGCUUGAAGGUGGGAGAGGGUAGUGGAAUUCCCGGUGUAGUGGUGAAAUGCGUAGAUAUCGGGAGGAACACCAGUGGCGAAGGCGACUACCUGGCCCAUUCUUGACGCUGAGGCGCGAAAGCUAGGGGAGCGAACGGGAUUAGAAACCCCCGUAGUCC